rnacentral:misc_RNA from 1 species
GAUGAAGAACGUUGUGAAAUGCGAUAAGUAAUGUGAAUUGCAGAAUUCAGUGAAUCAUCGAAUCUUUGAACGCACAUUGCGCCCGCCAGUAUUCUGGCGGGCAUGCCUGUUCGAGCGUCAUUUCAACCAUCAAGCCCCCGGCUUGUGUUGGGGACCUGCGGCUGCCGCAGGCCCUGAAAACCAGUGGCGGGCUCGCUAGUCACUCCGAGCGUAGUAAUACAUCUCGCUCAGGGCGUGCUGCGGGUUCCGGCCGUUAAAAAGCCUUAUUUACCCAAGGUUGACCUCGGAUCAGGUAGGAAGACCCGCUGAACUUAAGCAUAUCAAUAAGCGGAGGA